CGAAACACCAAAGAUCAGAUGAUGAGUGAUGUUAGCCGUCACUCUCUCUCUUCACCACUAUGCCGACUUCUUCUCGCUUUCUGUCUCGGAGAAAACUUUCCGUAGACGGCUCAAGUGCUCAGUAGAAUAAAAACACUCACAAAUUUCAGAUGAAAUAAAACCACACCCUCUUUACCUCUAUCUUCAUGUUUGAGGAUAAACGAGUGGGUUUUCUCGGCUUUUUUUGGGGUCUUGUGCGUGUUUUUCGUGGUUGUUGCUGUUGCUCUUAACAAAAGCUUCCGCCGCCGUUUCUUCUUGCAGCGAUGAAGGACCGUAGAAAACGCGACGUCGUUUCGUGGAGUCGGUUCUUUUGGUGUACUCUCUUUGUUGUUUUCUCUUGUGUCCUCUUCACAGGCUUCAGUUUUUCCACUUUUCGAAUAUUGUUUGGAGAUAAAUUUCACCCGGAAAUUGUUUAUGCAUGGCGACCUCCGGCGUUGCGGGCCAUAACCGGCGAGUCUCCGGGGAAUUCGGAUACUAUCUCAAUACGAGAAACCGUUUUACUACCAGACGAGGCUGUUCUUUUCCUUAAAUACCCUCAAUCAGCUCGCUUAUUUACCAAAGAGGACUUGGAUUGUGCUUAUUUCUCGACCGACUCGUCGUCAUCAGCCCAGCCACAGUUCAAGCGCCCUCCUAAUCGAAUAGAUAGUGAUGAUCCGGAUCAUCAGAUCGUACGGUGUCCCCUUAGUCCACGUGGCUUAGUAGUUGCUCUUGCCUUGAAAUCUGGUGGAUAUAUCAACUCCGGCCCAAUCCACCGGUGGGAUUCGCUCGUGUAUGAAGCACUGCUAGACCGCGACAAUACCACAGUCGUAUUUGUGAAGGGGCUCAAUCUACGGCCAGACAAGCUCUACAACACGUCAAGAUUCGAGUGCCUGUACGGCUGGGAUUUCAGGACGCCCAAGUUUCUAUUACGAUCAAGUGUCAUGUCAAUAGCCCAAGAGAUCGUACGGUGCCAAACGCCUCUGAGCAUAUUGAGCAACCCACAGAAGGUAAACAAUUCAAUCAAGGUCUCAAUUAGAGUGAAAGGCAGAGGAACAUUACACUCUAUAGCCAGACCACGGCUCCAAUUGGACCCAAACCCGGACCUGAAAGCCCGAAAGCCACACCACAUGUGCAUAUGCACAAUGUUGCGCAACCAAGCAAGGUUCCUUGGGGAAUGGGUCAUGUACCAUGGCCGAAUUGGGGUCCAACGGUGGUUCAUUUACGAUAAUAAUAGUGAAGAUAAUAUUGAUAGUGUGAUAGAGUCAUUAAUGGAUAGCAAUUACAAUAUUUCAAAAUAUGUGUGGCCUUGGAUCAAGACCCAAGAGGCGGGGUUUGCCCAUUGUGCACUACGGGCACGAACUUCUUGUGAAUGGGUUGGGUUCAUAGACGUGGAUGAAUUUUUUCACUUGCCAAAUGGGUUGAAUUUGCUUGAUGUGCUAAGAAAUCAAUCCGAAUCCAAUAGUAAUGUUGGAGAACUACGUGUAUCAUGCCAUAGUUUUGGACCGUCAGGGCUCCAACACGUGCCGACCGAAGGAGUUACCGUGGGGUAUACGUGCCGAAUGAUAUUGCCAGAGAGACACAAGAGUAUAGUGAAACCUGAGGCAUUGAAUGCAACAUUGAUCAAUGUGGUGCACCAUUUUCAUUUAAGGGACGGGUUUAGGCAUGUGAAUGCUGACAGGGGGGUUUUGGUGAUUAACCACUACAAGUACCAAGUCUGGGAAGUGUUUAAAGAAAAAUUUUAUAGGAGGGUGGCUACUUAUGUGGUUGAUUGGCAAAAUCAGCAGAACGUUGGGUCCAAGGAUCGUGUCCCUGGGUUGGGGACUAGAGCUGUUGAGCCACCGGAUUGGGCCAGUAGAUUUUGUGAGGUCACAGAUACUGGACUCAGGGAUAGAGUGUUGGAAAUGUUCAGUGACCCAAUAACAAGGCUUUUGCCAUGGCAGGAAGAUACUGGUGGUCUGGAUGUGCAAAAUUGAGUUUUUCUCCAUCAGGAGAGAGGGUAAAAGAUUUGUUUGGAGAUUUGCUUUGCACCUAGUACCACUUCUUGUGGACACAGAUAACCAAAAAGUUUAACCCUUCUGUACUAACUAUAGAAAUUUCCAUUUGGCGAUAUUGAUUUCAUUAUUUCUGUAAGAAAUGCUUAAGGUCUGCUGCUGAUAAAUGUGGAAAGAAGUGUCCAAGGUGCGGACAGCUGAUAAGCAAUGGAGAUCUUGCACUGUGAACACAGUUCUUUGGAACACAAUAGAGCUUCUGUUUCCUCAAGAAAUUGAAGCAAGAAAGGCAGCUGGGGCCUUGAAUAGUCGAGAAGCAGAUCGUGAAACCCAGGAAACAAGAAUCAAUACUGGUGAGAGAAACUCAAGCAUUCGCCCUUCCAGGAUCCAAGUAAUUUCCAGAAGACAUGUAACUGCAAGGACAAGAGAUGAACUGAACCAAGGUGAAGAUUCUGCACUAGCUCAAAGAGGUUGCAUAGAGAAGAGCUUACACUAUUAUUAUUGAAUAGAGAGACAAGUGGAAGGAACAGAAGAGGGAUAACUAGCCAAGAUGAGGAUGCUGCAUUAGCUAAGGCUGCAGAGAGGAGCUCAUGGAGGCCUUUGGAGGAUCCCAUGCUCAAUCAGGAAGAUCUCUUUCUUUGGCUAGAGCAAACUAGAGAGCUUUGGCAUCAAGAGCUAUCGACCCUCGCAUGGGAAACCGGCCAAUAUAGUUCUACUUCUUGUUGAAAUUGGAUAAUCUAGCUUUCUUUCAAUCCAAAUGUUUAUUUUUUAAUCCUACUUUCUUCUGAUAGUUAUCUGUUUUAUUUUUUGUAUCAAUAUUUGGAAUCAAGUUCACUCAUGACUGUUGAGGACACCAAGCAGGACUUAAUGAAAUUCAUGCUUCUGGCUUGAAUAAUGCAA